ACGUGUCUGCGGCGCACGCCGGGUCUUAUAUUUCCUUGAACCAAUGCUCCCUGAGCAAGGGCUAGGUACAUUGCCAGGCAAGCGUGAUCGUCUCGCGUCAGACGAACCCAAUGCCUGGCUGCCCUGGCCCACCUGAACCCCCGGUUCAGGAUGAGGGCUCGGUGGCGACUGCAGACACCUC
rnacentral:other from 1 species